GGGGGGGGGGGGGGGGGGGGGGGGCGGGGGGGGGUCGGGGGGCGGGGGGGUGGGGGCGGGCGGGGAGGGGGGGCGAGGGAGUGGGGGGGGAGGAGUGCAGAGGCAGCUACUAUGGGGGGGGGGGGGGCGUGGGGCGGCGUACGCUAGUCCCGCAUCCCACCUACGGGUGAGGGCCGGGGGAGUUCGAGCCUUGCGCGCAUGCAUGCGACGAUGACGGAUUAGCGGGUUGGCUGGUGAAAGGCCCACCAAGGCGACGAUCCGUAGCUGGUCUGAGAGGAUGAUCAGCCACACUGGAACUGAGACACGGUCCAGACUCCUACGGGAGGCAGCAGUGGGGAAUAUUGGACAAUGGGCGCAAGCCUGAUCCAGCCAUACCGCGUGGGUGAAGAAGGCCUUCGGGUUGUAAAGCCCUUUUGUUGGGAAAGAAAAGCAGCAGGUUAAUACCCCGCUGUUCUGACGGUACCCAAAGAAUAAGCACCGGCUAACUUCGUG
rnacentral:rRNA from 1 species